AUUCAAGAUAAAAUAAAUGAUUGAAGAAAAAUAGAUUGACAAUAUGCUAGAGUUCAACCUUUACCAACAACACUCCUACGUAGCUCUUCCAAUUGCUUAAAUAAUUGAAAACACACAUGCUUUGAAGGUUGGAUUUUCCUUGUGUAUGUUUUACUUGUGACAUUCAAGCUAAAACGCAUACCACUACAUGCAACUUAUUCAUGACAUUUGGAUUAAAUAUAAACAUGAGUGAUUCAUUAAUCUUGGUGAAAAUCCUUUUGUUAAACCAUGUAAUCCCUAAGAGCAUGAUAUUUACCUUAGGAGAGUACAAUCCUCAAUCACAAGAAGCACAACCAAUUUUUACGUGACAUUCGUUCAAAAUUGCAUCCGAUAACUUUUCUAAGCAUCCUAAUGGUGAUCAAGCAUCAAGGUACAUAGAUAGUUUAAUUUAGUGAUUGAAAAUAUCAAAGCAAGCAUGUAACAACACUUAAGCAAUUGAAAAAUAAAUCUACGUAUUCAUGUUGCGGCUCAUGGCCUCACUCUAGCAAAAUAAAUUAGUUACACAUACUUGUAUUAAUACAUAAGAAAUUAUCCAUAAAAAAAUAACAAAGAAAGAAGACACCCGUUUUUGCAAGACGAGCUCUCCGUUCCUUUUGCUCUCUGCUCCUCACUUCCUCUCCUCUGCCUUUCUGCUUCUUCCUCCGCACCGCACUCUUCCGCACUGCCCUCUUUUUCCCCCUUUUAUUUUCUGCCGUGCUCCUCUCUCCUCUCUGUCAUCUUCUGUCCGUGUCCCCCAUUUCUUAUUCUUUUCCUUUUCUUUUCUGCUGUGCUCUCUCCUUUCCCGCUGUCAAUCUGCCCACUCUCUCCUGUCUUUCUACUAUCCCUCUGCUUUUGAUGCCGUGCUCUGCUGUCCUCCCUCCUCUGCCUUUUUCUUUUAUUCUUUUCUUUCUUUUUCCUUCCACUUCUCCCUGUCUGCCAAUCCCGUGUGUCUUCUCUUUUCUUCCUUUCAAUCCUUUUUUUUAUUUCUUUUCUUUUCUCUGUCCUUCUUAUUUGCAGUAGGAGGACUAACCACUUCGUGAUCAAUAUCUUGUCGCUGCUCCUACCUUUUUGCUUGAAAUUGAUCUUAAAACAAAUUUAACUGCAUAUUAUUACAAAGUAAGGUAAAAUGCCACAAUUUUAACACAAAAACAUCACAAAGACUUUAGAAAUGGAUGGUAUAAAUGCAUGAAAUAUAUGAGUGAUCAAAUACCCCCAAACUUGCAUUUUUGCUAGUCCUCUAGCAAAACAAAACACAAAACAAAACCACUCAACUAAGACUAGAUUCAACAACUUAGUAGCCAACUUCUCAAUUUCGAUUUCAGAGAUAAAUGCUAAUCAUGAAACAAACAACCAAGAACUAAGCAAGAGCUCAAAACAUCAUCCAAUAGUUAACCAAAUUUCCUUCAAACGAAAUGUUGAAAAGCCAUGUGUGAGCUAGCCAUGUCAAUGCAAUUCCAAGCUCCUUUAAAUCAUCAUAUGCAAACGUGUGAUCUAUUCACAAGACAUACGCUCAUUCACUCAUAAGUUUUGGUUAAUGUGUUUCACUCAAGUGAUCUCAUUGUACAUGCCGCCAUAUGCUUGCUUGUCCACCUAACUUGCUAUCAAUAUUUAAGUAAUACCUUGGAUCAAUAGGACUUUAUUACGGUUGUAAUGGGGUACACUUUGGUAGUUUUCCAACACCUCAAUAUCACACCACCUCAAAUUGAAAGCAAAAAAAUAAAACCUCGAGCACCUGUUACUCCCCAAAUUUAACUUCAAAAGGAAAUUUAUACUCUGCAGACACAUUUUCAACAAAUCAACACUCUCCAAUUUUCAUAUAUUUCGUUUUUUUUUUUUUUUUUUUUUUUUCAAUUGAAAGAAACAAAUCUGCAAAGCUAUGCAUAAAUCUGCAAAAGCUACAUCACCCAUCAAAUUCAUAUUUCAUUGUAAUACACAUGCUCCAUCCAUCUUUCUACAUAAAUGAAACUCCCAAGAGCACAACCCAUGUAAUAUUUUCUCAAAACAAUAAGGAAUCGAUUUUUGUGUAUGGGCUCAACUCCAAUAUUGGAGCAAGGUAAAGAGAUGUGGCUAACAAACAAAUGGCUUAGUUAAAGGCUCAACGGGCUACUACGGAUAAACAUAGCAUAUAAGGUAGGCAUGAAAGGCUCAAACGAUCCAAAGAUGGCCUAUAUCACUUCCAAGUUAUUACAUGAAUUGAUUAAUGAAUCGAUUAGUAUAAAGCAAGUUCUAGAGAUACAUGUACAGUGAGAUCAUAUGCACAAGAAGGAAUGAGAUUGAUGCAUAAUGGUUCAAUCAUGUAUAGGCUCAAAAACUCACAAGGUUUACAUAAUCUCACAUGAUUCACAUAUGAAACGCUAAAUCAUGCUCAAGUUUCAAAUUGACAAGACUAGGCACAUUUAUUUUUCAAGUUGAUUUCUGGAAAUCACAGUUAACACAAAGACAACGAAAAGAACUUAGACUUCUUGGAAGUAAGAAGGAAAUUAAGAUGAAAUCUCAUCAUUGAAUUGAGAAGCACCUACAAACAACAACAAAAAAAAAAACAAAAACUUUUUUUUUUUAAACAAGAAGUAAACUAACGAAAUGUAUUUCCACCCCCAAACUCGAAUUUCAUGCAAAACAAUGGUUACCCCCCCCCCCACAUUUAAAUCAAACAUUGUCCUCAAUGUUCAAGCAUAAACUCACACAAACAAACAACGAAUAAACAUGACAAGUAUGGCAAAGUAAAAAUUAGACAGAGUAGAGUUUAAGAACGCAAAUCUGGUUUUGGAGAUAAAUGAUCUUGUUAUCUUUCCAUAGCUUUGAUCUCGAACUGGUUUGGAAUUCUGAGCCAGGAAUAUGAAAGUUCCUUGGUUUCAAAUCAGACUCCUUCUGCUGGGUUGAUUUGAUUGUGCAGUCUGCAUUCUUCUCUGCUUGUAUCUUCUGCACGGCGGGCAUGCACGAGGUAGAGGUGUUGGUCUGUUUCUUUCUUCAAUCUUUCCAAGUGCCCACCUCUUGCUUUCUUUCUCCUUGUCCGUAGCUAAGGAUGAAUUGGCAAAUUGUCUCCACAUGCUUCGAGGUAUCAUUUUCACUUCCCUUAUCUGUUCCCUAGGCAGAUGUGGUUGACGAAGAGGAAGCAUAAAAUGAUGAAGAUGAGUACUCGAGAGCAAGGCUAGGUAAGCAAUCAGGAAGGGGUUCCAGGCAGUCGGUUCCAGAUCGGAAGAUUGAUACCAAGUGCUGGCUGAUUGCUCUCUUUCUCCUUGUCCUAAAACAACGACAAGGAGAAGGACAGGGAGAAAGCAUGAUAUGAGAUACUCUUGCUUUCAACCUUCAUGAUAUGAAAUACUUUUGCUUUGGAUGGGUUGUUUGCAGAGGUACCCCAAGGAAUAAGGAACACUGAGUGACUCGAGAGGGUUUGUUGGAAAGGCAUUCUCGGAGAUGAUGGAAGGUUAUGUAUGUCUGCCUUGCCAUGGAGGGUGAAGGUCGACAUUUAUAGGAAAUAAUAACCGGUACUGUUCUUUCACUCUUGUCGGCAACCGUUGGAUGAUUGAACAGUAAACUUCACGUGCUUUCUACUUUACCAUAAAUCAUCGACAGAUUGCCCGUGAUUUUCGUAAGCUGAGUGUGCAUGUGACAGAUGCUGACACGUAUGGAUAAAGCAGAUGCCUCUUCGAUAUCUGGAAUUGGUGCUUCGACAAACUGCCCGUGAUUUUCGCAAAGCUGAGCGUGCAUGUGAGAGAUGCUAACACAUCUGGAAAAGCAGAUGCCUCUCCGAUUUCUGAGCUUGCCUCUUCGAAAUCUGAGCUCCGUCGAGUGCAGAGAUUGCAUGUGAUGAGUGCGGACAAAUCUGGAACAAAGGAUGGCCCGUGGUUUCUGAGCAAGCCCAACUUUUGAGAAAGCUAGCGCCUCUUCGAUUUUUGAAUUGGCCUCUUUGAAUUCUGAGCUCGCCUCUUCGAUAUCUGAAAUCCCGUCGAGUGUUGAUUUUUAUAGAGGCACGCAGUUCAUUUCAAAGCACACUUGAAUUUGCGCUUGUAUAAACUCCCUUCUUGCACUUCUAAUAUCUUGACUUGUCUGAUCUCUUCUUUCUUCAACACCUUUGAAAAUGUCUGGCCCUUCCGACCGUCGUUUUGACUUGAACCUUGGUGAAGAGGCAUUCCCGCCUUCUCUAGACAACAUAUGGCGCCCAUCCUUCAUAUCCCCUACUGGCCCCCUUACCGUUGGGGAUUCGGUGAUGAAGAAUGAUAUGACAGCUGCGGUGGUGGCCCGGAACCUUGUCACUCCUAAAGAUAACAGACUGCUUUCAAAAUGGUCUGAUGAAUUGGCUGUUAAGGAGUCUCUGGCUCUUAGUGUGCAGUGUGUGGGUUCUGUGUCCAACAUGGCCCAACGCCUAUUUGCUCGAACCCGUCAAGUUGAAUCGUUGGCGGCUGAAGUGAUGAGUCUCAAACAGGAGAUUAGAGGGCUCAAGCAUGAGAAUAAACAGUUGCACAAGCUCGCACACAACUAUGCCACAAACAUGAAGAGGAAAAUUGACCAGAUGCAGGAAUCUGAUGGUCAGAUUUUACUUGAUCAUCGGAGGUUUGUGGGUUUGUUCCAACAGCAUUUGCCUUCGUCUUCUGGGGCUGUACCGCGUAGUGAAGCUCCAAAUGAUCAACCUCCGAUACCUUUUCCUUCUGUGGCCCCGCCGACUGCUGAGGCUCCGCUGACUACUGAGACUUCUCCUAAGCAGCCUUUGUGAAGGCUCCCUCUGUUUUUAUCUGCUUAAUGUUCCUUCCUUUUUUAUGAAUGUAAAAAUACCUUGCAUAACUGUCAAUGUUUCAAAAAUAAACCCACACAAAAAACAAUUAAACAAGCAACAAAUAAAAAUAUCAAUCAUGGCAAAAUAAAACUACAGAAAAGGGAAGGUUUUUAGAAACGCAAAUGAUAAUGAAAGGAAUUUUGAACAAUAAACAUAAAAAUGGAAGGAAAGAAAUACAAAAUGAAAUCAAUACACAUAAAGAAAAGGAAAGAAUACACCAAUUUGUGUAGGCGAGGAGAGCAACAAUAAAGAUGCAUUUUUGUUCCAUAAUAGAAUUCCAAAUCAUCCCCAAACUUGUUUCAACACGUCCCAUUAUGCAUAACAAAUGUGUGAGUAACCUGUGGGAUUAAGAAACUUUGCAAGAAGUGGUGGUAGAGAUUGGCAAAAUCAUUACCUGCAUAAGGAAGCAAAAGUAGGACUUAAACACAUAAACCAAAAAACAACAUAAAAAUAGAACAAAAACAUUUAAAAUUAUUCAAACUAAAGAUGAAAGAUAGAAAACUUGGGUUGCCUCCCAAGAAGCGCUUUAGUUACUGUCUAGAGCUAGACAUUCUGUUGGCAGUUUGAUUCAAAUAACAGGUUCCUUCAAAGUGAUGGAAUCCUUGGCAAGAUCAUAUGGAGACUCCUUGUAUAACUUCAAGCGAUGUCCAUUAACUUUGAAGACAAAACCAGUUUGCAUGUUUUGGAUAUCCACAGCCCUAUGAAGAUGGACCUGUACAACACGAUAUGGACCAUUCCAACGUGAUUUUAGCUUUCCUGGGAAUAGUUUCAAUCUCGAAUUAAAAAGCAAAACCUUCUGACCCGGUUGAAACUCUUUACGAAGGAUGUGAGCAUCAUGAAAUUUCUUGGUCUUAUCCUUGUAAAUUUUUGCAUUCUCACAAGCAUCAUUCCUUAUUUCUUCCAGUUCAUUCAAUUGAAACUUCCGCUUCUCUCCCGCUGCUUGGUAGUCAAAAUUGAGGUGCUUAAUAGCCCAAUAUGCCUUGUGCUCAAGUUCCAUAGGUAGAUGGCAAGCUUUCCCAUACACCAAACAAAAAGGAGACAUCCCAAUUGGUGUCUUAUAAGCUGUCCUAUAUGCCCACAAAGCAUCAGUAAGCUUUAAACUCCAAUCCUUUCGAGAUGAACUGACAGUUUUCUCAAGAAUCCUCUUGAGCUCACGACUAGAUACUUCAACUUGUCCAGAUGUCUGUGGAUGGUAUGGGGUGGCUAUGCGAUGGUGAAUAUGAUAUUUGGCACAAAGGGAAGCCAUGGUGCGGUUUAAGAAAUGCGUACCUUCGUCAUUGAUGAUAGCACGAAGUACUCCAAAUCGGGGAAAAAUAGUAUUCUGCAAGAAACCUAACACCACAUAACUUUUGCAUGUUGGAGAAGCUAUUGCCUCCACCCACUUAGAGACAUAAUCAACCGCCACCAAGAUGUAAAGAUUGCCAUGUGAAGAAGGGAAAGGUCCCAUGAAGUCUAUACCCUAAACAUCAAAUAGUUCAAUCACCAAAAUACUUUGUUGGGGCAUCUCAUUUCUCCGAGAAAGAUUUCCAACUCUUUGACACUUAUCACAAGCCUGGCAGCAUAGGUAUGCAUCUUUGAAUAAAGAUGGCAAAAAGAAACCACUCUGUAAAAUCUUGGCCGCUGUCCUUCUUGGUCCAAAAUGACCACCACAUGCAUAGUGGUGAGCAAACUUCAAGAUGCUUUCUUGUUCUUCUAAGGGGACACACCGACAAAUGAUUUGAUCUUGGCAAUGCUUGAAAAGGUAUGGCUCAUCCCAAAAGUAGUGUUUUAUAGUGGAGAGGAACUUCUUCCUUUGUUGGUAACUGAACUCUGAUGGUAUUUCUCCAGAUGCCAAAUAAUUUGCGAUGUCAGCAUACCAUGGUACUUGAUGAGUAACUGCUAGAAGUUGCUCGUCUGGAAAGCUCUCUUGCAGAGGCAAUGAAUCUGCCUCAUCAGUGCUUGCAUUUACUAAUCUUGAGAGAUGAUCCGCCACAACAUUCUCACGUCCCUUUUAUCUAGGAUCUCCAAAUCAAACUCUUGCAAGAGAAGGACCCAUCGAAUCAAUCGUGGUUUGGCCUCUUUUUUAGACAAUAAGUACUUGAGAGCUGAAUGAUCAGAAUACACAAUGACUUUAACACCAAUUAAGUACGAUCGAAACUUUUCAAGAGCAAAUACCACUGCAAGUAAUUCUUUUUCCGUAAUGGCAUAAUUCAGCUGAGCAUUAUUCAAAGUGCGGCUGGCAUAAUAUAUAACAUGGGGGAGCUUGUCACGUCGCUGACCAAGGACAGCACCCACAGCGUAAUCGGAAGCAUCGCACAUGAGCUCAAAUGGAAGGGUCCAAUCUGGAGCUGUUAUAAUUAGGGCUGAUGUGAGAAGAUCCUUUAAUUUGUUGAAAGCAUCAUGACAAUCUACAUUAAAAUCAAAACAAGCAUCUUUAGCAAGUAAAUUAUAAAGAGGACGACUAAUUUUGGAAAAAUCCUUUAUGAAUCUUCAAUAAAAACCAGCAUGUCCCAAGAAAGAUCUCACAUUUUUCACAGAAGUUGGUGGUGGUAAUUUGGCGAUCACCUCAAUCUUUGCGUUGUCGACCUCUAUUCCUUUGCUUGAAAUUAGAUGUCCUAGCACAAUGCCAUGUUUAACCAUAAAAUGGCAUUUCUCCCAAUUUAACACAAGAUUAGUCUCCCUGCAUCUUUCCAAAACCAAAGACAAGUUAUCCAAACAUAUAUCAAAAGAAUUACCAAAAACAGAAAAGUCAUCCAUAAAAACCUCAACAAUAUUUUCAACCAUUCCAGAAAAAAUACUCAUCAAGCAUCGUUGGAAAGUGGCAGGGGCAUUGCACAAUCCAAAUGGUAUUCGUCUGUAUGCAAAUGUACCAAAAGGGCAUGUAAACGUUGUCUUCUCUUGAUCCUUAGGGGCAAUUGGAAUUUGGUUGUACCCUGAAUAACCAUCUAAGAAACAAUAGAAAGAAUGACCCAGCUAGUCUCUCAAGCAUCUGAUCAAUGAAUGGCAGCGGAAAAUGAUCCUUUCUAGUGCUGUCAUUGGGCUUUCUAUAAUCAACACACAUUCGCCAUCUGGUGGUCAUCCUUGUAGGCACAAGCUCGUUGUUAUCAUUCUUCACCACAGUAAUACCAGUUUUCUUUGGAACCACCUGAGUCGGGCUCACCCAUUUGCUAUCCGAGAUUGGAUAAAUGAUACCUGCAUCGAGUAACUUCAUCACCUCAACUCUUACAACUUCCUUCAUGAUCGGAUUUAGACGUCUUUGAGCUUCAAUAGUUGGUUUAGUCCCAGCCUCCAUAAAAAUCCUAUGCAUGCACAAAGCUGGACUAAUGCUCUUUAUGUCAGCAAGUGUCCACCCCAGAGCAUCUUGAUACUUGCGAAGAACUCUUAGUAAUUUGUCUUCCUCCGUGUCAUUAAGAUCAGCAGCAAUAAUAACAGGCAAGGUCUCAUUCACCCCGAGAUGAGCAUACUUGAGGUGGCUCGGCAGUAGUUUGAGCUCUAACUUCGGAGCUUGCUCACUUGAAGGAAAAAGAGGCUGUUUAGGUACUCCAAGGCUUUCAUAAACAUGUCACCACUUUGGAUUAUGAAUUGGUGCACUAUCCAAUGCAGCGAUGACGUCCACCACAUUUUCUUCCAUAGAUAAAGUAGCAUCAUGGUUGGUGAGGCAAGUUAAUAGCUCAUCAUUAGAUGAUCGUGAGGCAAAGUUUGCAUGCACAAUCCCAUCCACAACAUCAACGCGAAAACACUCUUCAGGUUCGAAAGGACGCUUGAUAGCUUCAAAGAGUUUGAAUACAACUGAUUCUCUUUGCACUCUUAAGGUUAAAGUACCUGCUUCCACAUCAAUAAGUGUCCGGGCGGUGGCCAUGAACGGUCGGCCUAAAAUGAGAGGCACUUCCUUGUCUUCCUCCAUGUUAAGUACAAUGAAAUCAGCUGGGAGAUAGAAUUUAUCCACUUUAAUAAUCACAUCUUCCAGAAUACCCAAAGGAUAUGUCACGGACCUAUCUGCCAAUUGAAGACUCACAGAUGUGGUCUUGAGUUCUCCUUCACCUAAUUUUUGAAAAACAGAAUAAGGCAUAAGGUUAACACUUGCUCCUAAAUCAAUCAAUACUUUAUGAAAAUCAAGACUACCAAUAGUACAAGAGAUAGUGAAACUCCCCGGAUCUUUCUUCUUGGGUGGUAGCUUAUGUAAGAGGACAUCACUGCAUUGCUCAGAUAAAAUCACCUUAUCGUAUUCCAAGAACUUUUUCUUUUUAGAACAUAGCUCCUUCAGAAAUUUGGCAUAUGAUGGGAUUUGUUGAAUAGCAUCUAAUAGAGGCAAAUUAAUUUGAACCUUAGCCAACGUCUUCAUGAAUUCAAUGCAUUGUUGAUCCUUGGAACGUUGUUGCUGCCUUUGUGGAAAUGGCAAAGGUGGCUUGUAUGGUGGCUUGUCAGAAGGUGCAAAUAAACUACCAAGGCCCUUUUCCUUGUUUGAAUCAAAGUUGGGUCAAGAUUGCACUUUGUCACUUGCACUAGGAUCUGGAAUACCUGCUACAGAAAUAGCCUCUGACCGAGACUUUGCAGCUAACGGUGCACUUUCAGUAAGCUCUUCUUCUUCCACUUCGGCUUCAUGGUGCACCACUUCUCUGUUGUCAUAGCUCUUGCCACUUCUCAAUGUCUGUAUUACUUUGCAAUGCUCCAUCCCUCUUGGAUUUUGCUCAGAUUGGCUCGGGAACUUUCCUUUCUCUCUUUCAUUGAACAUGGUAGCAAGCUGUCCAACUUGAGUCUCCAAAUUCCCCACUGAUGCCGUGAGAUUCUGAAUGCUAGUUUGUGUGGAUUGGACAAAAUUGUUGGUGGUAUUAGAGAGAGCAGACAUAUGUUGAGCUAGCUGUGACAUUUGGUCUUCAAGAGAUGGUUUCUUAGUCUCACUAGUUGAAUGGUAAGACUGUUGGUAUUGACGUGGCUAUUGGUUGCCACCCCAACUGAGAUUGGGAUAGUUCUUCCACCCAGGAUUAUAUGUAUUGGAAUAAAGGUCACUUCUGGGUUUAAUGAAAUUAUUCACCAUAUUCACAUGCUCUUGCACAAGCUCAGGGUAGCUAUCCUUGUUGGGGCAUUGAGUGAUGUUAUGAGUUGUCUCACUACAAAUGAUGCAUGCUUCUUGGGCAUUGGGCAUGGAAGAGGCCUGCAUUAAGGCAGCAAACUUGGCAUUAAAAUUCUUUUCCAUUUUAGCAAUUUGAGCAGAAACAUUAGGAGAACUCUGAGAAAUCUCAAAAACUCCCCUCUUUUGUGUUUGUUCUUCUGUCCAUUGUUGGGCUUCAGAAGCCAUCAUAUCAAAUAACUCAAAUGCUUCCCUUGCUGAUUUUGACAUUAGUGACCCUCCAUCAGAUGCAUUCACUUGACUCUUGGUGGUGGCAUUGAGACCAUCAUAAAAUAUGUUCAUUUGAAGGUUAGAAUCAAACCCAGCAUGAGGACAUUUUGUGUACAUCUCAUUAUACCGUUCCCAAGCUUCAUGGAAAGACUCGUUUGGCUUUUGAGCGAAAGCCAAUAUCUCUUUCUUGAGUGCAAGAGUCUUGGAAGGAGGAAAAAAUUUAUUGAGAAAUUUUUCUUGCAAUUCUGUCCAUGUUGUAAUGCUAUUGGCAGGCAGAGAAUGCAACCACGCCUUGGCUUUGUCCUUCAAAGAGAACGGGAACAAGCGUAACUUGAUAGCUUCAGAAGAGAAACCUCUGAUUAUGGUGUUGUCACAUGCCUCAAUAAAAUCAGCCAAAUGCAUGUUGGGAUCACUGUUUGGCAACCCAUGAAAGGAUGGCAAUAUGUUGAGGAUGUGAGGUUUGAUUUCAAAGGUUGUCCCAUCUUCCACAUCUGGAUAUAUAAUGCACCUUGGCACUGCAUUGAUUCUCGCUGCCAAUGAAUUCUUUAAAGGUUGACCUGCUGCAGGUAAGGCUAGGGCCAUGUGUGCAUGGUGCCAAAGGUUGGAAAAUAGAUGUGCUGCUCUCAGGAUCACAGAACAAAUCCUUCAGAAAAGUAUCACCAAGGUUGGAAUCUUGUGCUAAAUAUUUUUCUCUAGCUAACUUCCUUGCACUUCUCUCUGGUUUAGGGUCGUAAGGAAUAAGCACUUGAUUCUUGAACCUUGUUCCAAUCACCAUAUACUACACCUGAACAAACAACAGAAAUAUUAAGCCACAAUAAAAAUAAAAGUAAAAUAAAAUAAAACUUAACAGAAACUAACUAAACAACAAAAAGGAAAAAAAAAUAAAUAAAUAAAAAUAAGUAAACCUAGAUGAAUCAAAAACACAAUUUAUGCAAAUUGGCAACCACUAGUUAGUUAAACAAAGACAAAAAUCUCACACCACACAUCCACUGCACUUAAUCAAAGAUCGAAAUUCAACUAAAUUAAUUGCUGUUUUUUUUUAAUUUAAUUUAAUGAUUAAUAAAAAUACGACUUAAACAAAAGCAUAAGAAAAAUAAACACAAAAGCUCGGGAACUGUUGGCACAGUCCCCGGCAACGGCGCCAAUUUCUUGAUAGCGAUUUUACCACUUGUAAAACAAAGGGUUAAACCAUAGAAAAUUCUUACAAGAGAACAAGUGUUUGUAGUAUAGAAUGGCUCAAGCAAGGUCGAUCUCCUCAGGGACUGAUAUAAACAAUUUACGAGUUUUUGUGUAUUUAACUUAUUUAACUCUAAGAACUAAACUAAUUUGACGAAACUAAAUACUACUAGAUGUGACUUAAACAAAUAUCUAAAAUGGGAAUUGGUUUAUAGGAAUAAUGAUUCAACUAAACAAAACAAGUAAAUGAGAAAAUUCAAGAUAAAAUAAAUGAUUGAAAAAAAAUAGAUUGACAAUAUGCUAGAGUUCAACCUUUACCAACAACACUCCUACAUAGCUCUUCCAAUUGCUUAAAUAAUUGAAAACACACAUGCUUUGAAGGUUGGAUUUUCCUUGUGUAUGUUUUACUUGUGAGAUUCAAGCUAAAACGCAUACCACUACAUGCAACUUAUCCAUGACAUUUGGAUUAAAUAUAAACAUGAGUGAUUCAUUAAUCUUGGUGAAAAUCCUUUUCUUAAACCA
rnacentral:lncRNA from 1 species